rnacentral:rRNA from 1 species
UGGCGGCGUGCCUAACACAUGCAAGUCGAACGCGAAAGUCCCGCAAGGGAUAAGUAGAGUGGCAAACGGGUGAGUAACACGUGGGUGACCUGCCCUCGAGUGGGGGAUAACGUCCCGAAAGGGACGCUAAUACCGCAUAACGUCCUGCUUUUGAACAGGUGGAGAUCAAAGCUGGGGACCCGCAAGGGCCUGGCGCUUGAAGAGGGGCCCGCGUCUGAUUAGCUAGUUGGUGGGGUAACGGCUCACCAAGGCAACGAUCAGUAUCCGGCCUGAGAGGGCGGACGGACACACUGGGACUGAGACACGGCCCAGACUCCUACGGGAGGCAGCAGUGGGGAAUUGUUCGCAAUGGGCGCAAGCCUGACGACGCAACGCCGCGUGGAGGAUGAAGACCUUCGGGUCGUAAACUCCUUUCGAUCGAGACGAACGGCCUCCGGGUGAAUAGUCCGGAGGAAUGACGGUACCGAGAGAAGAAGCCCCGGCUAACUCCGUGCCAGCAGCCGCGGUAAUACGGGGGGGGCAAGCGUUGUUCGGAAUUACUGGGCGUAAAGGGCUCGUAGGUGGCCAACUAAGUCAGACGUGAAAUCCCUCGGCUUAACCGGGGAACUGCGUCUGAUACUGGAUGGCUUGAGUUUGGGAGAGGGAUGCGGAAUUCCAGGUGUAGCGGUGAAAUGCGUAGAUAUCUGGAGGAACACCGGUGGCGAAGGCGGCAUCCUGGACCAACACUGUCACUGA